CGCACCUUGCGCCUCUUGGUAUUCCGAGAGGCAUGCCUGUUUGAGUGUCAUGAAAUAUCAACCUCUGAGAGUUUUCUCUUGGGUUUGGACCUGGGCGCUGCCUACCAAGGCUCGCCUCAAAUGACUCAGUGGGAUCUCUAUGCCAUGCCUGACGUAAUAAGUUUCGUCUCGGCUGACAUCUGAGCCUGCUCACAACACCCCAUACUUUACCAUUGACCUCAAAUCAGGUAGGGCUACCCGCUGAACUUAA
rnacentral:misc_RNA from 1 species